rnacentral:lncRNA from 1 species
CCUCAGAUUACAGCCUGAGGAACUCUUUCCAGGUCCCUUUCACGAGAACACUGUCCCCUCUGACUGCAGUGACUUUUAUCCCCCGCCCCUUCUCCCGCCUCCCUCACCAGGGCGCACACGCUCCUUGGCCCGGGUCGGCUGGCUGUGAUUGGCGGCGGCGGCCCCAACAGAUGACAGAGGAGACAAAGUGAUGGCUGCAGGUCGUCUGAGGUCCCACCCCGGCCACGUGCGGCUUCUGUGAUGACAGGUCCAGGAGGGUGGGGCUUUUUGCCUGACCAGCUACAACCCCAAAAUGACCAGAUCCAGCCGCCGGUGGGGAGCCAGAGCUCUGGCCAAAACUCAGUGCUGGAGUUCCUGAGGUCUGGCUGGUGUGAGGAACUUGAGCUUGAGCUUCCAUAAGGACUACUGACGCUCCUUGAAGCAGAGGCAGGUGGAUCUCUGUGAGUUCGAGGACAGCCUGGUCUGCAGAGCUUGUUCCAGGAUGGCCAGGGCUACCCAAAGAAACCCUGUCUCGAAAAACAAAACGAAACAAAAAGUAGAAAAACACAAAUGAAAAUACAUGAUACUGUUACUUGAAAUGUAAAAAUAUUGAAAUGGGGCUAUGUGAACCUGAAAUUGAUGAAGAAAAGUAUUUUGCCUUGUAAAAUUACUGAGUGAACUUUGUGAAAGCCAAUGCUUUGCAAAGUAGUAAAUAGGUCUUGAGUGUUCUACAGAAGCAGGAGGGUAGAAGGAUGUAACACAGAUACCAGUAGGUGGCAGCACACGGACACUUGUAGAACUAAGUGAGGCUAG